rnacentral:rRNA from 1 species
AUACGUAGGGUGCAAGCGUUAAUCGGAAUUACUGGGCGUAAAGCGUGCGCAGGCGGUUUUGUAAGACAGUGGUGAAAUCCCCGGGCUCAACCUGGGAACUGCCAUUGUGACUGCAAGGCUGGAGUGCGGCAGAGGGGGAUGGAAUUCCGCGUGUAGCAGUGAAAUGCGUAGAUAUGCGGAGGAACACCGAUGGCGAAGGCAAUCCCCUGGGCCUGCACUGACGCUCAUGCACGAAAGCGUGGGGAGCAAACAGGAUUAGAUACCCUGGUAGUCCACGCCCUAAACGAUGUCAACUGGUUGUUGGGGAUUUAUUUUCUCAGUAACGAAGCUAACGCGUGAAGUCGACCGCCUGGGGAGUACGGCCGCAAGGUUAAAACUCAAAUGAAUUGACGGGG